GACGAACGCUGGCGGCGUGCUUAACACAUGCAAGUCGGGCGGUAAGGCCCUCGGGUACGACGAGCGGCGAACGGGUGGAGUAACACGUGGGUGACCUGCCUCUAGCUCUGGGAGUAAGCCUGGGAAACUGGGUCGUAAUACCGGAUAUGACUCCACGGCGCAUGUUGUGGGGUGGAAAGCCUUGUGUGGCUAGAGAUGGGCCCGCGG
rnacentral:rRNA from 1 species